rnacentral:pre_miRNA from 1 species
ACAAUAUUCGGACUGUUGGUCUACCAAGCAAUUCACCCGCUCAUUGCAAGAUCUUCCCUUUGUCUU